UCAGAGUAUCAGAAUCAGACAGCAGUGAACUCUAUUCAUCAGAAUGAGACACAAUGGCACAUUAUCAUCAUUAUAUCUGCUCUCAUGAAUGCUGUUCUGACCUUUGUGACUAUUGUAGGUACCUGUUACUCUGGAAAAAACAUAAAACUUAAUGAUUCAGAUCCACUGCAGACUAAAUAUAUGCAUCUAGAACAACCUGGAGAAUUGAGCCAAGCACAGUACACUGCGGUGAGAUUUUCCACAUGUGACGAGUCUGGACACACUCAAGUCAACUGAACCACUGCCC